rnacentral:lncRNA from 1 species
CCCGUCUCUCUCUCUCUCUCUCUCUCUCUCUCUCUCUCGCGUUACGUGAUUCUCCGGUUGCUUUUGGUCUUUGCAGCGCCUCCUCUUUCGUGUCUCCCACUGCAGCGCACGCUUUGCUCCCUCUCUUUGCUUGGCUGCGCCAAAGGCAAGCAGAGAGAGGGUUCCGUAGAUGGAAGUCUGUGCUGCGCCUGUGCUGUGCUCCAGGGAUUAGUACCACCGAAUCCUGUGCUGCUGCGCUCCGGGAAUCAGUACUGCUGCGGGCGAGAGAGGAACCUGGCCUUUCCCUUUUGAGGUAAGACAGCUCGCUUUUACUCUCUCUCUCUCUCUCU